rnacentral:rRNA from 1 species
GACGAACGCUGGCGGCGUGCUUAACACAUGCAAGUCGAACGGAAAGGCCCUGCUUUUGUGGGGUGCUCGAGUGGCGAGCGGGUGAGUAACACGUGAGUAACCUGCCCUUGACUUUGGGAUAACUUCAGGCAACUGGGGCUAAUACCGGAUAGGAGCUCCUGCUGCAUGGUGGGGGUUGGAAAUCUUCGGCGGAUGGGGAUGGACUCGCGGCUUAUCAGCUUGUUGGUGGGGUAGUUGCUUACCAAGGCUUUGGCGGGUAGCCGGCCUGAGAGGGUGACCGGCCACAUUGGGACUGAGAUACGGCGCAGACGGCAAUGUGAGGCAGCAGUGGGGAAUAUUGCACAAUGGGCGGACGUCUGAUGCAGCAACGCCGCGUGCGGGAUGACGGCCUUCGGGUGGUAAACCGCUGUCGCCUGUGACGAAGCGUGAGUGACGGUAAUGGGUGAAGAAGCACCGGCUAACUACGUG